rnacentral:lncRNA from 1 species
CAAGACUUAAUUAAUGAAUUAAGCUUAUAAAAUUAGAUUAGGUCUAAAAUUGAGAAUUUCAGAUCUAAGUCAUUUUCAUAAAAUUGGGUUCGGGCUUGGGUAGCUCAAUUAGGUCUAGCGGUUGAUCAAACCGAAUCAACAGUUGGUUAGGUGAGAUCAUGAAAGCUAAUAAUUGACCAGCCUAAUAGGAUUAAGUCUGGGUCA